rnacentral:sRNA from 1 species
CUGACCACAUGACCCUCUCGCCUCAGCCUCCGGAGUAAUCGGGAGUACGUAUGUGCACCACCAGGUCCAGAGAGGGAGAUCACGCGAUGCUGAACAGGGGCUAAGCUGGUUGUGGGCGGUACCUCACAGAACUCCUUGGACUGUCGGUGGAACUCUGGAGAAUCGUGCUGAGCCACAAACACCAACACAGGGUCCUGGACACACACGCCCUGCGGCAGAUAAUCCCAUGCACACAGGACACUGUGCUGAGGGAAAGAACAGGCUGUGCUCACUACGGACUUUAAUCUCUAAGCUGGCUUCCUCCCUUGGAAAACAGGACAAUUAUGUUCCCUGUCUUUGCAAGUUGUGAGAGUUGAAGGUGAAAAGCACAGCACAGUGGAAUAAAUACAACGGCCAAAUAAGACGAAAAAUUAAAGAGAUGAGUGCGCUGUGGGGCGGGAGGGUUCCCAUGACAGGCAUCUCAGGACGGUCCUCAGAACAGUGGUGUCCUCCGAGACCCCAAACACCCUUCUUCUCAACACAGGGACACCAAGUCUAUCCAUUUAGUGUGUAUGCAGCAUGCGUGAGUAGACACAAACUUCCUGUUUUCUGUAUCCCAGCCUGGCCUCAAACUCCCUAUGUAGCCGAGGAUAACCCUGAUCCCGACCUCCCCAGCUCCCGAGGGCUGGAAUCGGAGGUACGUGCCA